CGGCACGCCUAACACAUGCAAGUCGAACGAAGUAGCAAUACUUAGUGGCAGACGGGUGAGUAACAUGUAGGUAUCUGCCCUUUGGCCUGGAAUAACACGAGGAAACUUGUGCUAAUACCGAAUAAGCCUUUACAGGGAAAGUUUUAACGCCGAAAGAUGAGCCCGCACUUGAUUAGCUAGUUGGUAAGGUAAAAGCUUACCAAGGCAACGAUCAAUAGCUGUUCUUAGAGGAAGACCAGCCACAUUGGGACUGAGACACGGCCCAGACUCCUACGGGAGGCAGCAGUGGGGAAUCUUGCACAAUGGGGGAAACCCUGAUGCAGCGAUGCCGCGUGAGUGAAGAAGGCCCUUGGGUUGUAAAACUCUUUCGUCGGGGAAGAAAAUGACUGUACCCGAAUAAGAAGGUCCGGCUAACUUCGUGCC
rnacentral:rRNA from 1 species